UGAUGGAAAGCUCGAGAUAGGCGGCUCACUAUCAGAAACGAAAGCACUCGUUGAAAAUGCCGAAAAUGAACAGAGC
rnacentral:ribozyme from 15 species